GAAUUCACUAGUGAUUUCUGGUUGAUCCUGCCAGACCCGACUGCUAUCAGAGUGGGACUAAGCCAUGCGAGUCGACGUAGCAAUACGUGGCGAACGGCUCAGUAACACGUAGUCAACAUGCCCAGGGGACGUGGAUAACCUCGGGAAACUGAGAAUAAACCACGAUAGGUCACGAUUUCUGGAAUGGAUCUUGGCUUAAAUCUACAUGGCCCCUGGAUUGGACUGCGGCCGAUCAGGCUGUUGGUGAGGUAAUGGCCCACCAAACCUAUAACCGGUACGGGCUCUGAGAGGAGGAGCCCGGAGAUGGGCACUGAGACAAGGGCCCAGGCCCUAUGGGGCGCAGCAGGCGCGAAACCUCUGCAAUAGGCGAAAGCCUGGCAGGGUUACUCUGAGUGAUUUCCGCUAAGGGGAUCUUUUGGCACCUCUAAAAAUGGUGCAGAAUAAGGGGUGGGCAAGUCUGGUGUCAGCCGCCGCGGUAAUACCAGCACCCCGAGUGGUCGGGACGAUUAUUGGGCCUAAAGCAUCCGUAGCCGGUUCUGCAAGUCUUCCGUUAAAUCCAGCCGCUCAACGGAUGGGCCGCGGAGGAUACUAUAGGACUAGGAGGCGGGAGAGGCAAGCGGUACUCAGUGGGUAGGGGUAAAAUCCUUUGAUCCAUUGAAGACCACCAGUGGCGAAGGCGGCUUGCCAGAACGCGCUCGACGGUGAGGGAUGAAAGCUGGGGGAGCAAACCGGAUUAGAUACCCGGGUAGUCCCAGCUGUAAACGAUGCAGACUCGGUGAUGGGCUAGCCUUGUGCCAGCCCAGUGCCGCAGGGAAGCCGUUAAGUCUGCCGCCUGGGGAGUACGGUCGCAAGACUGAAACUUAAAGGAAUUGGCGGGGGAGCACCACAAGGGGUGAAGCCUGCGGUUCAAUUGGACUCAACGCCGGAAAUCGAAUUCCCGCGGCC
rnacentral:rRNA from 1 species